ACCUCCUGCGGCCACGCAGAUGGGGAGGAAGGGCAGGGGAGAGAGGGGAAGGAGGAACCCUGGAAUCCGCGGGCCCACCCGCAGCCACAGGGAGACGCUCCCGGGCCCACCGGCCGGCCGCGGAGGCCCCAGCGGCGCUGCGACGACGCUCGCCCUCCUCCCUGCGCCCGGGCACAGAACUGAGGCGGCGGUACCAUCCCGGCGCUCACGCACGACCAGCCUCGCCCCAAAGCCGCACCCCGGCCCGCCUCGGCCACCCGCCCCUGCCCUUCCAAGCCGCCUGGGCUGCCUGCCACCGCCGGCCCAGGUCGCACAACGGGCACGGGCUGCCUACACGCUGGGGGACAAGGAAGGUCCUCGGGCCCGGAAGGGCCACCCAAACCCGGCCCCCACCCCCGGGUUUCCUCCCGGCCGAGAAAGGAAAGGAAAGAAGACAAAGGCCUAGGGGACCCACCUGGCGGAGGCCGAUGGCCGUCGGGAACGACCAGGUGAGGUCCGGUCGCUCACGCGGGGGCAGGCGGUCUGACUGAGCCCCUCUCCCAUCUCUGCCGUAAAGCAGCGUCCUAGAGGCCCCGCGUCACAGUUUUAGAAGAAAACCAAAGAGUGUGAUCUACAGUGCGUUCUGCAGACCCCUGAGCUCAAGGUUAGACCAGGAGCAGACGCUGACCUCACACUUCUGAUAAACAAAUGAAGUCAGCACCUCAACCCGAGCUCAAAACAAGAUGCCAGAAGAAAAGAUCAAAGAGCUUAAGACGGAAUUCCAGAAAAAUCAAACGCAGGAACACUGGCGGUCAAGUUACUUAUAGAUUUCAGGACCUCUUCUACUGUCUCUACAGGCAGAUAGAGAGCCAUGCCCACCAUCAUUUCUAUCAGUGCCACUUCUACCCGGAGGAGUUGUUCUUUGUCUUCCAAUUCCUUUACCUGGAAUAAAUGAUAAACCAUCAUCACCACCGUGGUCCUCUUUGUACCAGGACCUCCUCCUCCAUCACCACCUCUGUUGAGGCAGGAGAAACUUCUGCUCCAGAUCAUCAUUUGCUCUAAUUUAAAGGAAUGAAGCAGAAAUAAAUGUAUAAAACUAAA